ACCUGCGGAAGGAUCACUA
rnacentral:rRNA from 1 species